rnacentral:rRNA from 1 species
GAUGAACGCUGGCGGCGUGCCUAAUACAUGCAAGUCGAGCGAACGGACGAGAAGCUUGCUUUUCUGAUGUUAGCGGCGGACGGGUGAGUAACACGUGGAUAACCUACCUAUAAGACUGGGAUAACUUCGGGAAACCGGAGCUAAUACCGGAUAAUAUUUUGAACCGCAUGGUUCAAAAGUGAAAGACGGUCUUGCUGUCACUUACAGAUGGAUCCGCGCUGCAUUAGCUAGUUGGUAAGGUAACGGCUUACCAAGGCAACGAUGCAUAGCCGACCUGAGAGGGUGAUCGGCCACACUGGAACUGAGACACAGUCCAGACUCCUACGGGAGGCAGCAGUAGGGAAUCUUCCGCAAUGGGCGAAAGCCUGACGGAGCAACGCCGCGUGAGUGAUGAAGGUCUUCGGAUCGUAAAACUCUGUUAUUAGGGAAGAACAUAUGUGUAAGUAACUGUGCACAUCUUGACGGUACCUAAUCAGAAAGCCACGGCUAACUACGUG